CGACGAUCUUCCGAUCUCUUCUCCAGAGAUGCACAUUUGGAGUUCACAGCCUCAACUUGUUCCUCUGCCUCUUGCAGAC